GGCCUUCGGACUGGCUCGGAGAGGUUGGCAACGACCACUCCGAGCCGGAAAGUUCGUCAAACUCGGUCAUUUAGAGGAAGUAAAAGUCGUAACAAGGUU
rnacentral:rRNA from 1 species